CCUACGGGAGGCUGCAGUGGGGAAUAUUGGACAAUGGGGGGAACCCUGAUCCAGCCAUGCCGCGUGUGUGAAGAAGGCCCUCGGGUUGUAAAGCACUUUCAGUGAGGAAGAACGCCUGGUGGUUAAUACCCAUCAGGAAAGACAUCACUCACAGAAGAAGCACCGGCUAACUCCGUGCCAGCAGCCGCGGUAAUACGGAGGGUGCGAGCGUUAAUCGGAAUUACUGGGCGUAAAGCGCGCGUAGGUGGCUUGAUAAGCCGGUUGUGAAAGCCCCGGGCUCAACCUGGGAACGGCAUCCGGAACUGUCAAGCUAGAGUGCAGGAGAGGAAGGUAGAAUUCCCGGUGUAGCGGUGAAAUGCGUAGAGAUCGGGGGGAAUACCAGUGGCGAAGGCGGCCUUCUGGACUGACACUGACACUGAGGUGCGAAAGCGUGGGUAGCAAACAGGAUUAGAUACCCCUGUAGUC
rnacentral:rRNA from 1 species